UACGGAGGAUCCGAGCGUUAUCCGGAUUUAUUGGGUUUAAAGGGAGCGUAGGUGGAUUGUUAAGUCAGUUGUGAAAGUUUGUGGCUCAACCAUAAAAUUGCCGUUGAAACUGGAAGACUUGAGUGUGUUUGAGGUAGGCGGAAUGCGUGGUGUAGCGGUGAAAUGCAUAGAUAUCACGCAGAACUCCGAUUGCGAAGGCAGCUUACUAAGCCAUAACUGACACUGAAGCACGAAAGCGUGGGGAUCAAACAGG
rnacentral:rRNA from 1 species